CCUUCAUCCACUAUGGCCUCAUCUUAACUUGAUUACAUUUGCAAAAACUUAUUUCCAAAUAACAUUAUGAUGUUCACGGGUAUGUGGGCUAGGACUUCAACGUAUCUGAGGAACAAAAGUCAACCCAUAACAGACACACAUGCAUGCACACACGCACUCUUAAGUCCUGCUAAGUUUUGUGAACCAUUGUUCUGUAUCGUUUUACAGACCUUGGAACUGAGGCCCAGAGAGGGCGCCGCCCUUACUGAAGGGUGCACAGCUUCUUAGCUGCAGCGUCUGGAGCUAACAAGACAGAACACAGGCUUCACAGCUCCAAGGCUCAGCAGGUUGUCCUACUGGGCCAUGUCUCCACCUCAGCUUCUCAAAGCCUGGUCCAGUUGGAGGGAAAUGUGAACAACAGGGAGGAGAAAAUGAGGCUGUCCGUGUCCCGGGCCCCAGGCUGUCUCCAGGCCUCUGUGUCCCAUGAGGAGGGGGGACAGAGAAGAGUGUGGCGUGUGCCCAUGGGCAGACAGUGGAGGCAGAGGUCCCAUUCCAGGAUGGCAGGCAGCUUUUCCAGCCCCUGGGAUGCCUCACCCUGCAGACUGCCAACAAGAGCCUCCUUCUGGCUGUGCACAGCUUCCAGGGGUGCCUGCUGGGCCAUGUGGAGGUGAGAGGGCCUGGGCUGGGACACAGGGAAGGGGUUACUAUUCUCUCCCUGGGCAGAGGCCACAGUGCCAGGAGCUCCAAGCCCUUGGGGUCCAUCUGUGCCCAGAAACCAGAGCAGAUGGCCCCAGGGUGAGGCCGACACCUGCCACUGGCACUGAGACCUUUUGUCUAUUUCAUUCCUACAUGGCCCCGAGGGAGUCCCAGCCUCUUCUCCGUCCUCACAGUCCAGGAUUGCAGCAGUUGGCUCCCAGGUGCAAGCCUGGCUGGAAGAGAAGUUUCAAGGCUUGGGUGCCUCUGUGAGAAGGUUCCAGCACCUGGUGGGUAGCACAGGAGAGAAGGGUUGGGUGAAGAGCUCUCCCUCUGGCCUGGCU
rnacentral:lncRNA from 1 species